AUGACAGGUGAGAUGUCUCAGGUGCGGCAGGCGGUGAGAGAUGCCUUGUGGGGGAUGUGUGCGGCGGACGCCAUGUCCAUGCCGGUGCACUGGUACUACAACGUGGACGACAUCCGGAGGGACUUCGGAGGCUGGAUCUCAAGCUUCACUUCGCCCAGAAAUAAACACCCGUCCAGCAUCCUCGGCCUCUCCAGCACCGCCGGCAGCGGUCGCAGCGCCGCGUCGUCCAGCGCCAAGCGGCCCGACGUGGUCGGAAACGUGAUUCUGCACGACAAACUGGAGCUGUGGACGUCCAGAGGAGCCGUGCACUACCACCAAGGUCUGCGUGCGGGGGACAACACGCUGAACGUGCUCUGCUCGCUGCGUGCCGCCCGCUCGCUCGUCUCCGGACGCUUCCUGGACGUCUCGCAGCCGGACGCCCGCGCCGCCGUGCUGUCGGACUACGUGCACUUCCUGACCACGCCCGGCUCGCACCGCGACACCUACGCUGAGUCCUUUCACCGCUCCUUCUUCGCCAGCUGGCAGGACAGCAGGCCCACCUCGCCCCGGCAGGUUCUGGAGUUCGCAGAGAAGCGCAGCAGCCGCGCACUGAGCUCCUCCUUCCCCGACAGCCAGCUGGACGCCAUCGGCUGCCUUCCCAUGAUCCUCCCCUUCGUCCUGCUGUCCGCCAGCCAGGAGCAGGCUGUGUCGGCAGCGGUGGAGUUCGUGAAGCUCACCCACCCCCACCCGAAGGUGCCCGGGUACGUGUCGCUCUACAGCCGGGCGCUGCACGCCGUGCUGGGUGGAGCCAGCGUGCGGCAGCAGGCGGAGCUUGCGCUGAGGAGCCUGGACACCUGGGAGGUCAGCAGGAGCUACAGCCGUCGCGCCGCCAGGUUCCCUGCAGGUUCUCAGCAGUGUCUUCAGGUCCAUCAGAACGCUGUUCAGUAUCUGGGUGUCGCCUGCUACACUAAAGGUGCUCUGUCCAGUCUCUUUUAUCUCGCUCACGAGUUCCACGACGACCUGACGGGAGGAAUCCUGAACAACACCAACUGUGGAGGGGAGAACUGCAACCGCGGAGCGGCGCUGGGCGCUCUGCUGGGGGCGGGGGAGGCGUACGGGGGGUCUCGGGGGGGGGGCGUUCCUCAGAAGUGGAGGGAGCAGCUGAGCGAUGCCCGUGAGCUCCUCCCCCCCCUCCUGCAGGACAUGCAGCACUAAUGAGAACAUUUCAAAAUAAAAGUCUGUUUUUCUGUUUAUUCUUUACUUGAUAAUAAAAACUUUUUCCUUCAUUAAGUUUGUUUCGUGUUUGUGUGAAAUAAAAUGUAUAUGCUGAUAUUAUUUAUUAUUUAAUAAUACAAAUAUUAAUAUUAUUUUACAUAAUUAAAUCUAAUGGAAAUAAAUCCAAACAUUUAUAUUUAUUAAGAAUAAUGUGCAUUCAUUCUUCUCAUUGUUUUCAUGAUUAUUAUAUAAUUAAUAUUUUAGAUUCUUC
rnacentral:lncRNA from 1 species